CAGUACAGUAGGUGGCAGUAUAUUGUUCGUGUCCGUAUCGUCAUACGCGGAAAGCAAGUACACACACAGUACGACUGAAGUGUCGCUGGAAGGCUGCAGGAACAGAAACCCCUGGAAAGAUCUUGCCCUUACCGAAGUUUGAAGGAAGAAUGUGCAAAGGGUAUUAUCUCCAUGUUCCCAUGCUUUGCUGACCCCAGGAGCAAGCAUAGUUAUGAGCAUUAUUACAAUGCAGAAGAUGGAAGUGGAUAUUUGGUGUGGAGAAUUAAAACUUUCCAAAAAGAAGCAUCAGAUGGACGGAUAAAACGCCCACGGCAACCACAAACAGGUGCAUCAUUUGCAGAUUGAUCAAGAUUUUGGACUUCUAUUUGGUGAGUCGACCGCUGCAAAGUUGUUGGAGAAGUGGUCUACCAACAUAAAACCAAAGGUUAUUGCACAGACCCGUGGCCUCACACAGACUUGUAAGCAUCCAAAAUGCUGAAGCCACUGAAGUUGAAGAUGGUAACUAUUGUGCUAUACAAGUUAUGAUUCAUGAAGAAUGGCUUUAGAUCUAUAGUUUCAAUUGAAGUCACAAUGUUACCCAUCAGACAUGCAUUAUUCAUAUGCAGCACAGAUUUAAGUAAAUAAUCAGAAUAAAAAUUACCGGUUUCUCUUAACAUUUCUACCUUGACCUUAGUGAUAUUGAAAUGAGGUCAUACAGUUAAAAUUAUUUACAACAUAUAAUCCAUGCUUUUGUUAUUUAGAGUCCCAAAUGAAAACAAUUUUAAACUGUAAAUCUUCAACUCGCGUACUAGGCCCUUGUGAAAACCCAUCUGAAAGUGCUCUAUUUUUA